rnacentral:rRNA from 1 species
CGCACAAGCGGUGGAGCAUGUGGUUUAAUUCGAAGCAACGCGAAGAACCUUACCAGGUCUUGACAUCCUUUUGAAUGGUCUAGAGAUAGAUCAGGCCUUCGGGACAGAAGAGACAGGUGGUGCAUGGUUGUCGUCAGCUCGUGUCGUGAGAUGUUGGGUUAAGUCCCGCAACGAGCGCAACCCUCGACCUUAGUUGCCAGCAUUCAGUUGGGCACUCUAAGGUGACUGCCGGCUAAAAGUCGGAGGAAGGUGGGGAUGACGUCAAGUCCUCAUGGCCCUUAUAGGUGGGGCUACACACGUCAUACAAUGGCUGGUACAAAGGGUUGCCAACCCGCGAGGGGGAGCCAAUCCCAUAAAGCCAGUCGUAGUCCGGAUCGCAGUCUGCAACUCGACUGCGUGAAGUCGGAAUCGCUAGUAAUCGUGGAUCAGCAUGUCACGGUGAAUACGUUCCCGGGUCUU